rnacentral:rRNA from 1 species
AGUGAACGUUGGCGGCGUGGAUUAGGCAUGCAAGUCGAGCGAGAACCGUAGCAAUACGGGGACAGCGGCGAAAGGGACAGUAAUGCGUAGGUACCUACCCCGAGGUCUGGGAUAGCUGCGGGAAACUGCAGGUAAUACCGGAUAAUGUCUUCGGACCAAAGGUGUGAUUCCACCUUGGGAGGGGCCUGCAUCCUAUUAGCUAGUUGGCGGGGUAAUGGCCCACCAAGGCGACGAUGGGUAGCGGGUGUGAGAGCACGACCCGCGUCAUUGGGACUGAGACACUGCCCAGACACCUACGGGUGGCUGCAGUCGAGGAUCUUCGGCAAUGGGCGAAAGCCUGACCGAGCGACGCCGCGUGCGGGAUGAAGGCCUUCGGGUUGUAAACCGCUGUCGUAGAGGAGGAAAUGCAGGGGGGUUCUCCCCUUUGUUUGACCUAUUCUAGGAGGAAGUACGGGCUAAGUUCGUGCCAGCAGCCGCGGUAA